AGAAGCGUAGCUCAGUUGGUUAGAGCACCACCUUGACAUGGUGGGGGUCGGUGGUUCGAGUCCACUCGUUUCUACCA
rnacentral:tRNA from 1 species